rnacentral:rRNA from 1 species
GACGUAGGGCGCGAGCGUUGUCCGGAUUGAUUGGGCGUAAAGAGCUCGUAGGCGGCUCGUUGCGUCGGCUGUGAAAACCCGCAGCUCAACUGUGGGCCUGCAGCUGAUACGGGCGGGCUGGAGUUCGGUAGGGGAGACUGGAAUUCCUGGUGUAGCGGUGAAAUGCGCAGAUAUCAGGAGGAACACCGGUGGCGAAGGCGGGUCUCUGGGCCGGUACUGACGCUGAGACGCGAAAGCGUGGGGAGCGAACAGG